GUUAAAAAGCUCGUAGUUGGAUUUCUGCAGGAGUGCCUGUUGUCCGCCCACGUUGCGUGUGCAGCGGCGCCCCUGCAUCCUUCGGUUACCUCCGCUCGGCAUUCACUUGCCGGCGGUUGGCUCCGAAUAUUUACCUUGAGAAAAUUAGAGUGUUUCAGGCAGGCUUAGCCGGAAUACAUUAGCAUGGAAUAAUAGAAUAGGACUACGGUCUCGUUGUUGGUUUGAGGGACUGGAGUAAUGAUUAAUAGGGAUAGUUGGGGGCAUUAGUAUUUAAUUGUCAGAGGUGAAAUUCUCAGAUUAACUAAAGACUAACUUAUGCGAAAGCAUUUGCCUAGGAUGUUUUCAUUAAUCAAGAACGAAAGUUAGGGGAUCAAAGACGAUCAGAUACCGUCCUAGUCUUAACCAUAAACUAUGCCAACUCGGGAUCGGGGGCGUGUAAUUAUCCGCCUUCGGCACCGUAUGAGAAAUCAAAGUCUUUGGGUUCUGGGGGGAGAUAUGGUCGCAAGGUUGAAACUUAAAGGAAUUGACGGAAGGGCACCACCAGGCGUGGAGCUUGCGGCUCAAUUUGACUCAACACGGGAAA
rnacentral:rRNA from 1 species